CAAUAGUGAAUAAGUCUCAUGAGAUCUAAUGGUUGUAAAAAGGGGAGUUCUCCUGCAUAAACUCUCUCUUUGUAGGAGCUAAGAUUGCAAGAUCAGGGAGAGAGCAGGGCCAAACUAUAUCCGGCUUUGUAGGCCUUGGUGAGGACUUCUAUUCUCAUUCUGAAUGAGAAAGGAAGUCAACAGAAACUUUUUAACCAAGUGGCAAUAUGAUCUGAUUUGCAUUUUACGAGGAUCUCAUUGACCACCACAUAAAAAAAAGGCUCUAGAAAACCAAGGACAAAAGCAGGAAGAACCUUCACAAGACCAGUGCAACAAUCCAGGACUCACAGGUUGGAGGGCCUGAGAAGUUCUCUUGAUUGUGGGAAAAAGAGGAUUAAGUCAAAAGGAUUUACACCCAGCCUCAUCCUGUACUCUAAACCAUUAUUCAGCCAGUAAAAUUGGAAUAUUAACAUCUAGAAGAAAGAAAUAUAAUAAGAAUAUGAUGUAAAGAAACUCUCUGCUAAGCAGGCUAUCUGAUGCAGAGACAGUGUUUGAGGACAGGAGAAGCUGCUGUGGAUUGGGUGACGGCUGUUUUCAGUGAAUUCAGUGAAUUCAGGAGACGUGCUAUGUUCCUGAGCAUGGAUGCUCCCCGUGUCUCCCAGAAGUCUCCAUUUACUCCUCUAUCCUUAAUAAACUGC
rnacentral:lncRNA from 1 species